rnacentral:lncRNA from 1 species
ACCAAUUAUCUUAAGUCCUCUUUAUGACUUGGUGAAGUCAGUGAGAAGAUUUAUAACUAGUUGGGUGGACUAGAUUAAGCUUAAUCUUCUUUGAUCUGACUUAGUGAAGUUAGUGGGAGAAUUAAGAAUAGCUAGUCAAAUUUCUUCUCUAAAUUAAUUCUUAAAUUCUUUGAAUUAUUAGAUCCCUAAAAUAAGAUAGU